rnacentral:snRNA from 1 species
GGGGCUGCUCGGCCUUUUGAUCAAGAUCUAGUGUAGUUCUUAUCAGUUUACUAUCUGAUACGUCCUCUAUCCGAGGACACUAUAGUAAAUGGAUUUUUGGAACAAGGAGAUGGAAGAAGAGCUUGCUCUGUCCACUCCAUGCAUCGAGCAGGUAUUGCAGUACCUCCAGGAAUGGAGCACCCCUU